UACGUAGGGUCCAAGCGUUAUCCGGAAUUACUGGGCGUAAAGCGUGUGUAGGCGGGCGAUCAAGUCCCUUGUGAAAUCCCACGGCUCAACCGUGGAACUGCUGGGUAUACUGGUUGUCUUGAGCCAGCUAGGGGCGAGCGGAACAGACGGUGGAGCGGUGAAAUGCGUAGAUAUCAUUUGGAACGCCAAUGGUGAAAACAGGUAACUGGGGCUGUGCUGACGCUGAGACACGAAAGCCAGGGGAGCGAACGGG
rnacentral:rRNA from 1 species